CCAGACUCCUACGGGAGGCAGCAGUGGGGAAUAUUGCACAAUGGGGGGAACCCUGAUGCAGCGACGCCGCGUGGGUGAAGGAGCACCUCGGUGCGUAAAGCCCUAUCGGCAGGGAAGAAACAGACGGUACCUGACUAAGAAGCCCCGGCUAACUACGUGCCAGCAGCCGCGGUAAUACGUAGGGGGCAAGCGUUAUCCGGAUUCACUGGGUGUAAAGGGAGCGUAGACGGUUAAGUAAGUCUGGAGUGAAAGGCCGGGGCCCAACCCCGGGACUGCUCUGGAAACUAUUCAACUUGAGUGCAGGAGAGGUAAGCGGAAUUCCUAGUGUAGCGGUGAAAUGCGUAGAUAUUAGGAGGAACACCAGUGGCGAAGGCGGCUUACUGGACUGUAACUGACGUUGAGGCUCGAAAGCGUGGGGAGCAAACAGGAUUAGAUACCCGGGUAC
rnacentral:rRNA from 1 species